rnacentral:rRNA from 2 species
GAGCGAACUGAUUAGAAGCUUGCUUCUAUGACGUUAGCGGCGGACGGGUGAGUAACACGUGGGCAACCUGCCUGUAAGACUGGGAUAACUUCGGGAAACCGAAGCUAAUACCGGAUAGGAUCUUCUCCUUCAUGGGAGAUGAUUGAAAGAUGGUUUCGGCUAUCACUUACAGAUGGGCCCGCGGUGCAUUAGCUAGUUGGUGAGGUAACGGCUCACCAAGGCAACGAUGCAUAGCCGACCUGAGAGGGUGAUCGGCCACACUGGGACUGAGACACGGCCCAGACUCCUACGGGAGGCAGCAGUAGGGAAUCUUCCGCAAUGGACGAAAGUCUGACGGAGCAACGCCGCGUGAGUGAUGAAGGCUUUCGGGUCGUAAAACUCUGUUGUUAGGGAAGAACAAGUACGAGAGUAACUGCUCGUACCUUGACGGUACCUAACCAGAAAGCCACGGCUAACUACGUGCCAGCAGCCGCGGUAAUACGUAGGUGGCAAGCGUUAUCCGGAAUUAUUGGGCGUAAAGCGCGCGCAGGCGGUUUCUUAAGUCUGAUGUGAAAGCCCACGGCUCAACCGUGGAGGGUCAUUGGAAACUGGGGAACUUGAGUGCAGAAGAGAAAAGCGGAAUUCCACGUGUAGCGGUGAAAUGCGUAGAGAUGUGGAGGAACACCAGUGGCGAAGGCGGCUUUUUGGUCUGUAACUGACGCUGAGGCGCGAAAGCGUNNGAGCAAACAGGAUUAGAUACCCUGGUAGUCCACGCCGUAAACGAUG